rnacentral:lncRNA from 1 species
AAGUUAAGGACAUAGGAUUUGCAUAGAAUGAGACUGACAAGGCCAUGAAGCAUCUAAUCAGCUUGUCAGCUGCAUCCUGCAGGUUGCUACGACAAAAGAUUUUCUCCAAAAUAUACAGGAUGCCAUGGAGACUGACUGAAAAAAAGCUCUUAAUCCCUGCUUUGCUGGUGCUGACAGGAGAAUAGAUCUCUAGACACAUAGCAUAUUUGGUAAGCAGGAAGCUGGAGACUGAGGUGGUCAAAAGGGUGAAAACUUGCCUGUCUGUGGCAGUCCGGCUUUUCCUCAUAACUAUAUCACAGGAUAUUAAUUUGCCAAACAGGCUAUAAUCCAGCUACAAAAAUCUGGGCUUUGGGGAUUGCUAGUCAUGAAGCACAUGACUUUACAGAAAAGCUGGUGAAUGGUUUUAUGCCAGGAACGGUGCAAAAUAAACUCACUUAGCAACCUGAGAGAAUAUUUACAGUCUACAAAUUUAACUACACAGAUGUAGAGGAAGGUGAGCCCUCCAUCUUCUGUAAUUUGAGACGACUCAAAGAAUGCCUCUUGGAGAGAAUUCCAUUUUAAUUUUUUCCCUGUUUUUUACUUAAUACACUUCUAAUGCCGUACACUUGUGUUGUUCUUACUUGAACAUCAACGAUUUUUAUGUUGGAGUUGUAUGAUAAACUUGCAUUUGAUUAACAUCGAGUUAUGCAGGUCACAGAUCCAUAAUCCAAAACUUACAGCAAUCUUGGCUCAGACAGAUUUAUUAGCUAAAGUGCAGUGUCCCACCUAUUGCUUUUAUUUCUACUUGCUACCAUUCUGGAGUGGUGAAUUUUGGAGACAUCACAUUAUUUUUCUGUGGAAAUGUAUAUGUUUCUAUUUCAGGAAUUGCUAAUCAGACAAGGAAGGGAAAUUCUCCUUAACAAGUGUCAGGCCCAGUGGAGCUUCUGCUGUGCAUGAUCCAAACUAACUCCAGGAAGAGCAUCUGUCCUUGCUCUCUUCCUGUAGGGAUGAGGAGGCUCCUGUGCUGGGGCCAGCCCUGGUAAGAAAAAGGGAGGAUGUUGCUGGCAUCCUAAGUAGUGGUCUCAUCAAUGCUACAGUGCACUCAGCAGGACCCAAACUGAUGUCUGAUGAUGUCUGUGCUUUGUCGGUGUCCUAAAUGAUUCAGGGGACACUGCACUAUUGUGUCACUCAAGCUUGUUCAUAAUUUAGGAUAACUUGGUUCCUACAAUCACAGCAAUAGAGACACAAUUGAAUUAAUCUAUUUAUGCUGCAUAACUUGGCACCUCUGAAACUGUUGCUGAAUGAUUUCGUAUUCCUUGUAGAGAUCCAAUAAAAUCUGUAGAAAAGAGCAAUAAACACUAGCAACAGAUCAUUUCAGUUUUAGUGUAGUAUAUUUCUUUGUGACUGUAAGAAGGAUAACGUGCAUGAAAAAAAUAAAUGACCCUUCUCCUUGACUGCGAAGUGUUGCUGAUUUUUCUUACUGUCCUUCUAAGUAAGAAACUUCAGUUUCUCUUCCAGGAGGGCUAAAUUGAUGGUAAUGUUGACAGACAAAAAGAAAAUCAAUUACAUUUUCAACACAGAUAUUAAUUUAGAGGUGGUCUGUGGACUAAUGUUACAAGGAAUUUUACUUUAAAAUUACAUUAUGACUGACUAACAUUAAUCUGUUUCAUUUGUAAGGUAUGCAUACUAAAUAACUGAUAUAAAUAGUUGUUCCUAUUGAAAAAACACUCAACUACCAAUAAAAUUCAAGUAUAAAACCGAUGAGACAGCUUUUUAGGCACCACCCCAAUUACUCCAGGAGUUCACAAAGCAACAUCUGCAGUCAUUAAAUAGUAUCUAUUUACUGUGGAAUUUACUGAUUAGAGCAAUUAAUCUCUUAAAACAUUUGCUUUGACUCCCUUAGAGCACACAUCUCUCUCAGGCUAUUGAAGCAUUUCUCUGGCUGCAUAUUCUAAGUCAAGAAGAUACCCACUGAUUCAGUAGACUUUGGAUUAGUUCCUUGGCUGUUGUUCAAUACAGCAUGGAAAACUUUUCCCUAUCUGUCAUGUGCUAAGUAUGGAAUACGAUCACACAAUCUCUAUGCAGUGUUCAUACUGCUUCUUACAUCUUGAUAGAAUCCAGAGUAACAGACAGCUCAGCUGUGCUACAUAAUGGAAAAGAAUGAAUAAAACAAGUAGAUCAGGGUCUGUACAAUAUAAUGCAGAAGUACCAUUGCAAGGAGCCAGCCAAUGUUACAAAUCCUGUUUCAGUGCUGGGCUUGCAAGACUCAGGCUAUUCUCCAGAAUUCUUGAUUGUGAACUUUAACUCAUGCACAGAUAAAACUUGGAUCCAUUGAGCCUAUUACUCAAAGCUCUGUGGGAAAGUAGGUGUACAUCUGGGUCUGUUCCAGCCCUGGAAGCAGUACAGCUGUAUUAACAAUGUGCUUCGUGUAUCACUAAAUGCUCUGCUGGACUUGAUGUUUUGUAUCCCUAGCACGGAUGAUCAACAGAGCACAUUACCUGCUUAAGGAUAAAUGAGAGUUGGCUGCAUUUGCCAAAUGUGAAUCAGUGUUUCUGUUAGAUGUAGUGUGUAAACUUGAAGUUAUAUACAGUUCUUUUAGACCACCAGUUCCAUAGGAUUCUUAUUAUCUUUUUGAUUGUUAAUAAUAAUAAAAAAAAGAAUGUUGGCGAGAAAAACAACUGUGGGCUAAUCACAUAUCAAAAAAUGUUAUUAAAAAUAAAUUAUAUCUCAAAGUUUUUAAUAGGCUUUUGCUGUAAUAUAAUUGCAUACUAAAAACAAAUUGAAAAUUGGUAUUUUAUCACAGAAUCAUAGAAUAUCUUGGGUUGGAAAGAACCUUAAAGUCUACCUAGUUCCAACAUCUGCUUUGGGCAUGGCUGCCACCCCCCAGCUCAGAUGCCCAGGCCCCAUCUAACUUGGUUUCCAAUACCUCCAGGGAUGGGGCACUCACAAUUUCUCUGGGCAGUUGUGCCAGUGCCUCACCACCCUCUGAGAAAAAAGAAAUCCUGAUGUGUAAUCUAAAUCUCCUACCUUUUAGUUUGAAAACAUUACCCCAAGUGAUGAUUAAAGUAUUGUAUUAAAUGCUUUCUUACAUUGCUAUAAGAGGGCCUGAACCUUGGAGAUUAAAGGGAAGAAAAAGAAAAAGCCAGUGUAAGAUGUAGUAAGUAAGAAUAAGAGUAAAUAUAUGAAAUGUAUUGGAGCAGGUCCGGAGGAGGACCAUGAAGAUGAUCAGAGGGCUGGAACAUCUCCCACAUGAGGACAGCCUGAGAGAGCUGGGGUGCUUCAGUAUGGAGAAGGCUCUGAGGAGACCUUAUAGUGGCCUUCCAGUACCUGAAGUAUGCUUACAGGAAAGCUGGGGAGGGACUUUUUGUAAGAGCUACAGGAUGAGGGGAAAUGGUUUUAAACUGAAAGAGGGUAGAUUUAGAUUAGAUAUUAUGAAGAAAUUCUUAACUGUGAGGGUGGUGAGACACUGGAACAGGUUGCCCAGUGAGGUUGUGAAUGACCCUUCCCUGGACGCAUUCAAGGCCAGGCUGGAUGGGGCUGUGAACAACCUGGUGUAGAGGGACAUAUCCCUGCCUACAGCAGGGGGAUUGGAACUAGGUGAUCUUAAAGGUCCCUUCCAACCCAAACCAUUCUAUGAUUCAUUCUAUGAUUCUAUUCUAUGAAAUUAAUUAGUUAAUAAUAAUAGUUCUGUAUUGUAAUUGAAAGCCUUAAAAAAAAGUAUAUUCUUACAUAUGAUCAAAGUAUAUCACAAAGAAACAGAAAAAAAAAAAAGCUAAAGAAAGGUCAAUGUCAGUUGAAGUUAUUCAGAACAGUAUAUCAGUGGAUAUAUAUAUCAUGGAUCCAUUUAAUCAUGUUGAUCUGUUGAACUGCAGGUAUGCAGAUUCAAAUAAGAUAAUUCUGAGAUUCAGAAUUAUAUUUACAGUUCAUUUUAAAAUGCUGGCCCAAGGAAAAUUAUUGUUGUCUGGCAAAGUAUCUCUUAGUCUGUUAUUCUGCUUUGUACAAAUGUAUUUAAAACAAAUGUAUGUAUGUCGAAGGACAUUUGAAAGACAGGGAUUUUUAGUAGAAAUUUUGUGUGAGUCUUCUGAAUCUACUCAGAAAUUUAAAAUAUCAGGAGCUUUACAGGAUUUACCUUCCCAAGGAUUGACAAACAGGCUGAUUCGGUAAGAUGAAACAGUAAUUAAGUACUUUCAUAUAUUCAGUUCCAGACGGGUUAGUAACACAUUCCAAGCUGAUAUGAAUGGCACAAUUUGUCCUCUGGAAUUGCAUCUUUCUCUCCACUAAGAAUGAAGUGAAGGCCAGAGAGGUGAAGCUCCAUUCCUAUAACCAGGCUUGCACAUCUUUACACUCUGUAAGUCUGGCUCAGCUACAGAUACUUAUGCACACGAAUAACCUUUUCACAUCAAUAUCCUCCUGAAGACCACAGAGUAACAGUUAACUGAAGAAAAGAAUGUGUAUACAUCUCUAGGGUCAUACCUCAUUCUGUGUCUCUAUUUUUGAAUAUGUUUCCAAUUCAGAGGUCACUGUUAAAAAUUCUUGCACAUCAUAAGGCUUAUGUUCAGGAAAGAGGGUGUCAUCAAUGACUGUGUAUCUCAGGGCAUUAUGUCCUUUCUAAGGAAACAGAAAACUGUGGUGAGUAGCAGCGAAGAAAUUGUCUAGUAUAAAACUGAAACUGAAAUUUAUUUUCAAAGUGGAGAAAAGGGGGUGCCAAGAAGGAACACUUGCCUGAUCCAAACACACUGGCAUCUACUUUGGUGUUUUUAGUUCAGACUGUGAAUCCAAAAUAUAAUCCUGUUUUCAUUGACAGUGAAGAUCUUAACCAGCAUAGAUAUUGGCUUGGAUUGCCCAACCAAAAUCCCAGGAGUUGCUCAUUAAUUCAGCAAGCCACAUUUCCUGUAAGAGAGAAUUACCUGAAGAUAGAUUGACAAUGGUGAUCUGUUUCAGUCUCUUUCAUUACUAGAUGCUUUAGCUAUUGUUUUUCCCUGGGACAAUAGUUUUUAUUACUGCUUAUCCAUAUUUCCAGAAAUAUAGCAAAUCAUGUGCAUCUUGAAAUAAAAUGGAAGCAUGAAAAUGAUACUAAAAAUCAUUCAAAAGUCAUUGAAAAUAAAAUAUUUGUUUGUUUCAGACUUAGAAAAUAUACAGCCAGACAAUAUAAAUUAGGUAAUUUCCUUACCUGUUUCACUCUAACCUAGACAGGUUCAACAAGUUCAGAAACACUGGUGAAAAGGCAAGAUAAGAGGUAGGUAGUCUGGGCUAGCUUGUGUAUGUAUAUUCAUGAGGUGGGAUGACUGUCAGUGAGAUAUUGGUGGGAGUACUGGGUCACUUGCCUGGGUUUUGGAAUGAAAUAUCCAAAGAAAAACCAUCUUGUGUGAUCUUGAAAAUCAAUUCAUUAACAGGAAAGCUGUGUCACAUGGAGUAGUGCAUAUUAUUUCUAUUUGUAAAUAUUUUCAACAUGUGAAAAUGACAAAGAAGGCCACACAAAUACUGUAAAAAAAGAUAGAAAUAACAGAUCCAGUACUUAUUUAGGAAAGUAAACAAAACAAAACAAAUAAACAUUUCUUUUCUCUUUUGUUUGGUGACACUCCGGCUGCAAAAAUUAGAGUUAUGGCUCUUCUAACUUCCCAGUACAAAAGAAAUACUGUUCUUUGUUCUGUCCUAAUGCCUAGGUUUUCAUGGGUUGGGUUUUCAUGGGUUGGGUUUUCAUGACUCAUUUCUCCUUUACUGCAUCUGGGUGCUGGUACCUGGAGAAAUGAAUAAGAAUGGGUAGAACAUACCCGUCUUGGUUAUCCUGCAAAUCUGAAAGUGUUUUGAUAUUCUGGUCCACACUGAUGGCAUGAGUAGUUUUUCUCUUUUAUCUCUGUCAAGAAUUUUUAGAUUUGAGAUAUCUGCUUUACAAUUCAGGUGGAGCAUGAGAGAGAACCUGGGCUGAAGUUAAAUCUGUCACAUCCAGAACACAGCAUGAAUAAUUUUCCUCUGAUUUACAGUUUGGUGUAACUUGUUAUGAAGAUGUCAGUAGUUUGUCUUUUUCUCCUUUUAAAGUGGUGACACAGUGAAUGACCAGAACAUGCUCUCUGCAUUGAUUAGUAGUAGAAGCUUUAGCAUGACUAGCUCUAAACAGACAUUUGAAAGAUGAGAGUGAAGAAUUUUUUAAAAUGGCACAGUGUGAAAAUUUCACUUGUAGGGUCUUUAUAUGGAGCAAAGAGGUUAUCCACCUAAGGACAAAUAUAAAGUGCAAUGAAAGCUCAAUUUAAAAGCAAGACACCUGCAGCUUGCAGCUCAAUAAACUCUUUUUUUUUCUUUUUUUCUUUUUUUUUUGGGGGGGGGGAGGAAAAUUAAUAGUGAAAGAUUGAGACUAAUUUUCAUGUUUUUAACUUCAAUACUCAAGUAUUAUCUGUUCAUCCAAUGUUUUGCUGCAACCUGUGGUUACUGUGUCUACCAUCCACACUAGACGAUGGGAAGAGGACCUGCACAAUAGGAAAUGUUCUUGCUUAACCCCAGGCAACAGCCCUAACUGAGCAUGAUAAUUCAAAAGAAGGAUUGAUCAAAAUGGGAAACUGCAGACCUCUGGUGACAUUGCAAAUGAGGUGAAGGAAACAGCACAAUUAUUUGUGUAGAUAUGGUGGCAUGGCAUCCCCCUGGAAUUCAGGCUGAGACAGGGAGACUUGGGCAACUCCUAGAAGAGACCAGUAAAGCCAGUUGCAGAACAAACUCUGUCUUCCUUUGUAUCUCAUAUUUUUCACCUGAUUUUAAAUAUGCUUUUCUCUCCACUCCUGCUGUAACGGUAAGCAGGAAUUUAUUCUUAGUUCCUAAAACAGAAGCAGGAAAGCAGUGUUAAUAAUUACUUUUACAAAUCUGUAAUGAGAUAAAAAAAACAAGUGCCUUAACCUAGGUAGAGAAGAAUUAUUUGUGGGGCUUUAGCUUUCUUUCAAUUAAGAACAAAAAUCAGAAGGAAUUCCAGUUAGAAAAAAAUGAACUUAAAAUUUUACUACGAUUGAGAAGACUCAAUAUCACAACAGUAAUACUCAGAUUGCCCAGCCUAGUGUGAAUACAGAAACAUGGGAAUAUAGUUUAUGUCUCAGCUGGAAUCAGCUUGCUCAUAUCUAUGAUACUCAAAAUUGUAUGAACUAUAUGAACAUCACUGUUUUGCUUGAUUCCUGUAAGCACAUCAUGCAACUGAGUUCUGGUGAGGAGGAAGCAAUGCUAUUUGCCUUUAUAUUAUGUGAUUUGGGUGGGAGGGCUGUGUUGUUUCUGUUGUUUUUUCUUGGCAUUUGUGUUGAUAUAAUAUAUAUUCAUCAUUUAUAAUAUGCCAGUAAAAAUCUGUUAAAGAUGCUGUCGUUGAGUUACUCAAGUACAAAAAGCUUGCAGAAAUAGUAUUCUCCAAGUUUACUGUAAUUUUCAAGAAGCUUAUAAAAUGUAUAUACAUUUGAAGGGUUAGUUGAGAAAUUUCCCACUAGUCAUUGCUGCUAUAGUUAUGUUGUAUGAACAAAAGGCAACAUGUUUACUGUCUUUGUUUUGCUUUUUCAGGCUCUGUAAUCUGCAGUGAACCAUGCACUGAAUUUCUGCCUCUGGUGAUGUAAUAUUCCUUUUAUCCAUUAUAAUAUACUCUGCAAAAGACAGAAUACAAAUAGCACAAUGAGAAACAUUUACUCAUACUUUUUACUCCAUUUUCUAAUGUAUUUCUUUUCAGGAUAGGAAAACACAGGCUACCAACUAAUGUAUUUUGUUUCUGAUCUGACAGCGAAGAGUGGUAAAGAGACAAGAGGAAAGGGGUACCUUGUCUGUUUAGUCAGGCAUGUCCACGCUGUGGCUUGCAGGCCACAUUUAGCCCAGCACAGCUCAUGCUGCGGCUGCCCCCUGACUCGUGCCAUCACAGGGUGGCUAUUCUCUGCCUGGCCUGGCCUUCAGCACCAACUGAUCAUCAGUGUGCUCUUAACCCCAUCUGGGCUGAAACCAGGGCACAGAGGGCAGUGCAGUACCAGCUCAGGUUAUUGAAAAUAAGUUUAUGGAUUUUGAUACACUGGCUAAACAUUAGUCCCCUGAUGACAGUGGUUAACCUCCGCUGGUGCAGAUUAUGAUGAGCACGACAUGCAGGCUUUUGUUCACCUUUGGUGAAAAUGCAUAGUUAAUGGUGGUGACUGUGUUGUUCCAUAAGAAGUUGACCUCCAAUGUCUGCUGAAUCCUCCUCCCCAUACAGCAGUAUGAGACUGAGAGGAAGAAUGCAUGGAGUGAUACCCCAGAUGCAGUGUGGGAGUGUUUGCUGAGCUACACCAGACUACACCAGAAAGAGAGGAAAAUUCUCUUUACACUGGAUAACUUAAAACUGCACUGAUUCCAAGAAACUGCAUUGACUCCAAGAACUGAUGAAGGAACUUGACAAGUAUCAUGUAAACGUCUCCUGGCACAGAGAUAUGACUUGGCCUAAGAGAUACCCUUCAUGACUGUUGUCUAAUACCAACAUGUUUUAAAUGGCAGCCUUAUGUCUAGCAUUGCUUUUGGCCUUUCUCCUCCUCACAUCCUCAUAGCCUUAGCAAUGUCUAGCUGUGGGUAUUCCUCCAACCCCAUAUCAUCCACUCUUUAAAUUGAAUUGGAAGAUUUGGACGCUUUUCUUUCAUUAAAAUGUAAAACAAACAAAAGAAAAAAAUUGAAACAACAACAACAAAACAAACAAACAAACAAAAAAACCAACCCACAAACAAAACCAAAACAAAACAGAACACAGGUUGAACUAUGACAGCACACACGUCAGUGCAACCCAGGCUCAGGUCUUUCUGGCAGAUACCUGGCAAGGAGUGCGCAAGUAUGACAAUGGUGCAGUGGUAUUCUGCUGUAACACCAUCCUGCCCUUGUGCUGUGCUCUGUAAGGGAUGUAGGCUUUGUGACUGCUUGGCUCAGUGCACAGACAGUGUUUCAUGAUCUUGAAAGUUUUACCAAAUUAACAAUCUUUACUGAAGCAUAGAUGUAGCGGAGCCUCAUCCAACACUAUGAAUAGGAUAAACAUGCUGGGUUACAUUCAUUUUGCACUUCAUAUUUGUAUAUAAAUCUAAAAUAACUCUGUAAAAACAUGAAAAGUAAGUUUGCACAGUGAAGGCAAAAGGAUGCACUGGUCAGGAUGCGCUCACUUUUUAGGCUUUCAGAUGAGGUAUCUUAAAUAGGAGCUUAAUUCCUCCAGGUGCUCUUCUCAAAGGAAAUACAGAUGUCUUCCACAUAAAGGAUCAGCUUUGUAUAGAAAAGGUCACCGAAGUUACUCCAAUUAUGUUUUCUAAGAAUUAUGGUUUAUCUGUCAUUUGCUACAAAUUGUCUCAUUGUCUUCCUGCCUCUGAACACCUCAACUGCUGAAUUUCUUAAAAAAAUAAAUAAAUAAAAUGAAAUUGCACCCAGAGUUAUUUUCUGGUCCUUUUAUAAAAGACUGAAUGGUAAACGCACAGGUUACAUUUCUGUGUUGUCAUCUUUUGGUCUGACUGUUACUCUCCUAUGAGAACUGAUCUCACUCUCUGGUUAAUAACUAACACUUGUAAGGUAUCAAAAACAUCAUUCAUUCACAUUUUUUUCUUAAAUACAGAAUUAAUUUAAUCCACAAUGAACUUUCCUCUUAUUGUAGUAGCUUUCAGUUUUUGUGUAUAUUUUAUACUCCUCAAAUGCCUUAAUAAAAAAUUUUGGUUUGAGCUAGUCAAACAGAUGUCAUAGCAGAAAUAAGCCAUACUGUUUUAUGACCACACAAUGACCUUGACUUUGCCAAUAAACUACUGGCGUGUGAAGGGUAUUGUUUCCUUGUUGGAUAUUGGACCUCUCCUGAAAAUAGGAUAGGUUUGAUUAAUUCAGGUCAAAUUUAUUCUGAGUGUAACCUCACUGAAAUCAGAAGAAUUACAUUAAAGGAGCAGGUUUUGCUGCAUAAGUUUUAUAUUGGCUAGGUAUAGUCUCCCUUCCUUCACUUGGGAGGAUUUCUGAUAUUCAUUAACCUUUCAGAGCAAGUUUUAUACGAACUGCUCAUUUUUGUCUUAGAAGCUGAUUUAAUUUAAUAUUCUCUACAGCAAACAAAGCAAUAGUUCAAUUUCAGAAAAAACCUUAUGUCAUCCCCCAGUGAAUCACUUACAGGUACUUAACAGAAAGCAAUGUAAGAUAGAAAAUACAGAAAAGUGAAAAUGCCUCUGAACGUUCAAGAGGAUAACAAAUUAGUAAAGCAAGUCAGCAUGGCAGAGAUGAAAGCACAGAGAAUUAUUCAUCUAGAUGGUGAACCAGUUUUUUUUACCAACACAGUGCUAAUGACUGAAUGGAGUUGUGCUAGUGUUUCUGGUGUCUUGAGCCAGAGGCUUCACUACAAUUUAAUAAUACACCUUAGCCUUCACAAAGCUUGGCAGUAGUGUUCAAAUAAUGUGUUUAUUUCAUGCACCUGCAAAGUUUGAAUAAAUGUGAAGAUUUUUUUAUGCAAAUCUAAUACAAAAUCCCUUAGGGUUUUGGUUUUCAUAGAGAAUCAUUCAUUUAAUAACAUUUAGUGUGGAAUAAUAUACUUUUUUUCCUAAACUCUUGUACUACAAAAUAGCUAAAAUAGGUAUUUUAAAGUGCUAUAUUUUGAUUGCUUGAGACCCACUGUUAUUAGAAGUUACAAGUUUAUUAGUUGUCAAAAGAAAUGCAUAGUUUCUAAAUUUUAUAGGUUUUCUUCCAAAUCAAUCUCAACAAAUCCUGCAAAUUUAGAGUUCUUCAAAUUCAUAACUAUUUAAAACGUCUACAGGGUGCAAACUUGGAUUUGAAAUAUAUAUAUAUAUAUAUAUGUAUUUUAAGUAAAUUAGAGUCUACCUUGAAAUCAGACCAUAAAUAACAAUCAAUUCCUGACAGUUUCUGUUAUCUUCUUUGGAGUAAUCAGACUAUCUUUUAGCCUGGCUUUGAUAACAAGCAGAGGUUGUAUUAUCACACUGUACUUGUGUACCUUUGUGUCUUCCCAGUAACUUCUGAAUCAGUUAGCCAGUUUCAAGCCAAUUUGAUUGAAGGCUGAGCUUUCUAAGUUCCCUGAGCAGUUCCUGGUGGUGUUUGCCUUUUGGAGGUCAAAGGAUUUGCCACUUCCUUGGAUGAAACAAAGUGUCAGUGGUCUUGUUUCUGGUUUCCUCGCUUCCUUUCUGGUGACUCUCUUCUCUGUCCAUUUUACUGCCAUGGCCUAGGAAGUUUUUCUGGCUGAGAUGUUUUCCUCUUUGUGCAUCAGCAAUCUGCUCUAUUCAAAACAUUUUUAACACAUUGGAGAGAUUAGAACAUGAAUUCUGGACACAAAUUUCUUCUACUUCCAAGUGGGUAAGAGCUCAGUUUGUGCACGUGUGGCCCUCGCAUUGUCACUGGAAAAUACCACUGGCAAUGCCAAGCUUACACAUCUGAGCAUGGCAGUUGCCAGAGUAUGAUCGCACAAACCUCGGUGUUUGGUAUGAAUGCCAGGGGCCUAUGAUUUCAUGUUCAUGUGCAUUUUCCUCUACUAUAUUAAAGCUAAUAGCAAAAAGUAAUAGCAGCUCUAAUUAUCCCUUUAAGGCACAACUGCUGUUGUUGAGCACUGCCAAAUUCUCACCAACCUUUCAUUUUUCCUUUGUACAAACUCAUUAAAGGACUGCAAGUUCCUUCAACACUCUCUGCAAGUGUUCAGCAUGGCAUCAAAUUCUGCACCUUUAGAGUUUUGUAGAAAAGAAGUGAAGUUAUAGCUAACUAAAUGCUAACUAAUAAAUGUUGGGAAUGAAAACAAAGUAUUAGUACAUGUCAGAAAUACUUCUGGCUCUGUAAUCAGUAGGGUACUUUUUUGCUGACAUACAGUAUGUGAACAAAAGUAGUGAGUUAGUCUGCUUGAGAUAGUUAUAACCCAAAUGAAAUACCUCUUUGAAAUAAACAUCCAUUCACAAAAAAUUAUUUUGGCUAAAUAUCAGUUGACCAUUUCAAAUAUUUUGUUCAUUUCUUAAGUAACAGUAAGCAAAUCCCAUCCUUUCAAGUCAUGUUAAAUCCUUCCUUUGGAGCAUGCAUUUAAACACAGCUCUGUUUUUAUUCCAGAGGGUUUCUGUGAGGAUUUGUCAAGGUAUAUGUUAUUUCUCUCCUCUCAGUGAUAAGGAUUCAAGAGUACAACCGCUCAUUUCAAAAUGCACCAAUUGCUUACAGCCAACACCGAGAUGUUAAAAUAAUAAGGGUUUUAUUUUCCUCUUCUUUGCUUUGUGGCACAGUUUUACUGGGGGUUCAGAAAAAUGUCAUAAGGAAUUUUGCUCUUGGAAUAAAAAAAGGGGGAACAGAAAUGAAAAGCAUUCUUGUAAUUGACUAACAGCUGUGUGUGAGCAUUAGUGUUUGAAAGGGGUGUAAAGACUGGGAUGUGAGCUGUUGCUGGAUGUUAAAUAAGAAAUUGAGUUCUGUUUUUUUUUCUCUUAGCUACAGCGAUGGAGAUGUGUAAUGCUGUAAGUGUGUUCUGUUGUACCAUCCAUGACCUCAACGGAGUGGGAGAAAAUGGGUUUUUGCUGUCAGCCUCUCAUCCUGUUAAAGAUUUGAGUUUUACUCCAACAUUACUUCCAGUCUAAUUGCAUUUGACCCAGAACUCUUGCUGUGCUAGUGUCAGUCAGCAUAACUGGAGGCCUCUGUGCAGCUAGUAUUUAUAGAGUAAGUAUAAUUGCUUGCUAAGCCUUACAAGCAUCAGCCUUAUGAACUUCCUCAUUUUCAUUAAAAUAGAGGCUUCUCUACACUUGCCUGCAGAGGCAAUACAGACAAGGUAUUUAUGCGUCCUCAGUAGAAGCUGCCUGCUUUGAGAAACAAGGAAAGGGAAGUAAAAAAAGCUUGCCCUAUUAAAUGUAACUAUAAAUUAAAAAUAGAAACCUGUAGUUGGGUAUAAAAACUAGUACAUAUGUUUACUAGCAAAAUACUGAUAAAUGCAAAUUCCUAGUGUCUGUAUGCUUAUGUGUUAAAAUUGCAGAGCUAUUUGUUUAUUUGCACAUCUUAGGAAGAUGUUCAAUUUCCUGUUUCAAGGGCAAAAAUGCAAUGCUCAAAAUGUAAAGUUUUUUUAUUUAUGACAUUACAAAGCAAGAAAUCUAGAUUUUUUUUUUUUUUUUUUUUUGCCUUUUCAUAGGUGAAGAAAUGCCUUUUCUUCAAUUUGGCAUUUCAGAAUGAGACCUGCUAGUCAAUCUUCUCUAGUAUUCUAUUAACUCCUGAACCCACAUGUAGGCUAAAUUGCAAUAGGUUGGGGCAGAAUUUUAUUACUCUGAUAUUCAAUACACAAUAAAGGGAAUAUAUGACUUUCGUAUUUCUAAAGUGAUGUCUGGAGCAAGAUGCGGUAUUAGUGCUGCACAGUUCGAAGUACAUCCUCAAGCAUGCCCAGCAGCCUCAAUGUGGAAAUCAUGUACCCAUGAGAGCUGGAAGCAUAGAAUAUUUUGCAGUAGCAAGCUUUCCAAUAUGCAUGUCAAUUAUUGUACCAAUUGGAGGAAAGACAGUGUGUGGGUUACAGCACAAGGCUGUGCAUAUGCUGAUCUCAGUUCUCUUUUUCCUGCCAUUUUUCUGUAAAUAGUCAAAGCAAGCUAUUUUCGAUGUGCAAGCAGUUUCAUUUAUACAAUGCAACCUUUCCCUUCUCUCUCAUAAUAAUGUACCAAAAAGCUCUAAAACAGCUAUUCAGGAUUUACUAUCCAGGAUUACUAUAUUUACUCCUCAAGAUUCUAUAUCAUAAAAAUAAAACAUGAGCUAAUGCAACAUCUGCCUACUAGAGAUCCUCUCCUCAUGCUGUUCUAUGACUUCCCUGUGAUACACAUUCCUUGGGAUUCUCCACCUUCUCCUCAAAAAAAUCUCAUUUUCUGUGUUUAAGCUCUGAUACCUUUGAAAGGCACUCCUUCUUUGCCUGUGUGCUGAGAUGGAAGUUUUUAAUUAUUAAAGAGCAUAUAUCAAUUAUUUCUAGGUUUCUGGUAUGCCAUGCCUUUCUUUAUCUUUGAGGUUUUUCUAGCAAGGACUUUACUUCUGACCUGGUGCAACAUUGGAUGUAGCACAAGUGCACAAUCAUGUAGACACUACUGUGACCCUCAAAGGACGGAAUAGAUGAACACAGUCAUGGUGUCUCCAGAUAUAUGUUGAAGUGAUUUAGGACUCCUAUAUUUUCUCCCUGAAAUCCUAGACAGAAAAUGGUUGUGUGCAGUGCAGAGCAUUUGUGUUAUCAACAUUCCUAUGUUCUGGAUGCGUCAGACUCUCAGCACACGUGCAGGUAAGUUUUCCAUCUCAUGUCUAU